rnacentral:rRNA from 1 species
AGCAGCCGCGGUAAUUCCAGCUCCAAUAGCGUAUAUUAAAGUUGUUGCAGUUAAAAAGCUCGUAGUUGAAUUUCGGGAUUGACGUGAUGGUCGUGCCUUAAGGGGUAUGAACUGUCGCAGUUGAUUUCUCACCUUCUGGAGAAGCUUGAUGUCCUUAAUUGGGUGUCAUGUGGAACCAGGACCUUUACCUUGAAAAAAUUAGAGUGUCUAAAGCAGGCAUUUUGCUCGAAUACAUUAGCAUGGAAUAAUAGAAUAGGACGGCAUGGUUCUAUUUUGUUGGUUUCUAGGAUCACCGCAAUGAUUAAUAGGGAUAGUUGGGGGCAUUAGUAUUCAAUUGUCAGAGGUGAAAUUCUUGGAUUUAUUGAAGACUAACUACUGCGAAAGCAUUUGCCAAGGAUGUUUUCAUUAAUCAAGAACGAAAGUUAGGGGAUCGAAGACGAUCAGAUACCGUCGUAGUCUUAACCAUAAACUAUGCCGACUAGGGAUCGGAUGAUGUUAAUUUUUAAUU